GAUGAACGCUGGCGGCGUGCCUAAUACAUGCAAGUCGAGCGAACAGACGAGGAGCUUGCUCCUCUGACGUUAGCGGCGGACGGGUGAGUAACACGUGGAUAACCUACCUAUAAGACUGGGAUAACUUCGGGAAACCGGAGCUAAUACCGGAUAAUAUAUUGAACCGCAUGGUUCAAUAGUGAAAGACGGUUUUGCUGUCACUUAUAGAUGGAUCCGCGCCGCAGUAGCUAGUUGGUAAGGUAACGGCUUACCAAGGCGACGAUGCGUAGCCGACCUGAGAGGGUGAUCGGCCACACUGGAACUGAGACACGGUCCAGACUCCUACGGGAGGCAGCAGUAGGGAAUCUUCCGCAAUGGGCGAAAGCCUGACGGAGCAACGCCGCGUGAGUGAUGAAGGUCUUCGGAUCGUAAAACUCUGUUAUUAGGGAAGAACAAAUGUGUAAGUAACUAUGCACGUCUUGACGAUACCUAAUCAGAAAGCCACGGCUAACUACGUG
rnacentral:rRNA from 1 species